CUAAACAAAAAUCCGAUAAAGUUGGAACGAAACAGAGAAGACUCCCUAGCAUGGCCUUCUUGCGCAAGGAUGGCACGCGCAAAAACGAGACAUGUACGAAACCCUU
rnacentral:snRNA from 1 species